UUCAGAACGGGAAGGACCGACAAUAUGACGMGAAUUGAAUUCACCACCGCNUGUCGAGACGCUCCUAGCGUCCUUAGCUCGGAUUUUGGCCAACCGCGUGCGGKAACACACGGGAGACCAGCUUCCGUCCCGUAUCCGACAUUCGAUGGGGGACGACGAUUUAUGACACCCAGGCAGACGUGCCCUCGGCCAGAAGGCUUGGGGCGCAACUUGCGUUCAAAGACUCGAUGGUUCACGGGAUUCUGCAAUUCACACCAAGUAUCGCAUUUCGCUACGUUCUUCAUCGAUGCGAGAGCCGAGAUAUCCGUUGCCGAGAGUCGUUUUAGACUUUAAAUUUCAGCACAGCUUCCACACAAGCACCGUUUCCGGGUUGGCGAACACAGGCCGAUUAGUUAAUUGUUCCUUGACACUUUUCGUGCCGGGGUUUUGUGAAUAUCCAGAAGUUAUGGGUAUUACCRAUCCAAUAUURAAAUUGGGAUAGUGAUAAUAACCAUAACAACGGAAUCGGAAGGCACUASGCCCGCCGAGAGUGAUGAUUAAUCGUUCUCAGGUCUUUCUGUUUCCAGGUAUCGACAAUGAUCCUUCCGCAGGUUCACCUACGGAAACCUUGUUACGACUUCUCC
rnacentral:misc_RNA from 1 species